UUAUUUGAAACAGGAUACAACCUACUACAUUGGGUAAGCAAGAGCAGUAAGAAACAAAGUGGGCCCAAAAGCAGCCACCUUCCAAAAAGCGUCAAAGCUUAAUUACUCUAACUAAUAAUCCCUAAAACACUCUCCAACCCCUCAUCCCUACUGAACUAUUUUAUAAAUCUAUAAAAAUAAUUAUGCUAGAACUAGUAACAAGAAGUUGCCCUUCUCCAUAAUGCAAGCAUAAACCAAAACGGACACUCCCUUGGUAAUCAACGUAAAUGUAAGACCAUAACAACACAACCAGAAAACCCUAUGGCCACCCACACGUUACCCUAACACCAGAGCAUUACAGGAAAGAUUAAAAGAUAAAGAAGGAACUCGGCAAAUUUUAACCCCGCCUGUUUACCAAAAACAUCGCCUCCUGAUUAAAUAUAGGAGGUCCAGCCUGCCCAGUGAUAAAAUUCAACGGCCGCGGUAUACUAACCGUGCGAAGGUAGCAUAAUCACUUGUUCUUUAAAUGGGGACUCGUAUCAACGGCAUCACGAGGGUUAUACUGUCUCCUCUAUCCAAUCAGUGAAACUGAUCCCCCCGUGAAGAAGCGGGGAUUUAACC
rnacentral:rRNA from 1 species